rnacentral:rRNA from 1 species
GGAUCAUUACACAAAUAUGAAGGCGGGCUGGAACCUCUCGGGGUUACAGCCUUGCUGAAUUAUUCACCCUUGUCUUUUGCGUACUUCUUGUUUCCUUGGUGGGUUCGCCCACCACUAGGACAAACAUAAACCUUUUGUAAUUGCAAUCAGCGUCAGUAACAAAUUAAUAAUUACAACUUUCAACAACGGAUCUCUUGGUUCUGGCAUCGAUGAAGAACGCAGCGAAAUGCGAUAAGUAGUGUGAAUUGCAGAAUUCAGUGAAUCAUCGAAUCUUUGAACGCACAUUGCGCCCUUUGGUAUUCCAAAGGGCAUGCCUGUUCGAGCGUCAUUUGUACCCUCAAGCUUUGCUUGGUGUUGGGCGUCUUGUCUCUAGCUUUGCUGGAGACUCGCCUUAAAGUAAUUGGCAGCCGGCCUACUGGUUUCGGAGCGCAGCACAAGUCGCACUCUCUAUCAGCAAAGGUCUAGCAUCCACUAAGCCUUUUUUUCAACUUUUGACCUCGGAUCAGGUAGGGAUACCCGCUGAACUUAAGCAUAUCAAUAAGCGGAGGAA